CCAGCUACCUGGCAGGGGAGACAGCGCAAUCAGCCAUAUGGUUUUCCCAAGAUGAGGCUCCUCCCUUGCACUACGAGUGUGCUGACCCCUGUAAUUUUCCCAAAUGUGGAAAACUCAACUGCAUCAUGUGUAGUAGUGAGGGACUGUGUUCACACUCUCCCCUG
ensembl:snRNA U1 U1 spliceosomal RNA